rnacentral:tRNA from 1 species
GACCAUGUAGCGCAGUGGUUGACGCGCCCUCCCCCGGGAGGGAGGACGCCGGUUCGAGUCCGGCCUGGUCC